AGCGAACGCUGGCGGCAGGCCUAACACAUGCAAGUCGAGUGCCCCGCAAGGGGAGCGGCAGACGGGAGAGUAACACGUGGGAACGUACCCUUUGGUUCGGAACAACCCAGGGAAACUUGGGCUAAUACCGGAUAAGCCCUUACGGGGAAAGAUUUAUCGCCGAAGGAUCGGCCCGCGUCUGAUUAGCUAGUUGGUGGGGUAACGGCCCACCAAGGCGACGAUCAGUAGCUGGUCUGAGAGGAUGAUCAGCCUCAAUGGGACUGAGACACGGCCCAGACUCCUACGGGAGGCAGCAGUGGGGAAUAUUGGACAAUGGGCGCAAGCCUGAUCCAGCCAUGCCGCGUGGGUGAUGAAGGCCCUAGGGUUGUAAAGCCCUUUCGGCGGGGAAGAUAAUGACGGUACCCGCAGAAGAAGCCCCGGCUAACUUCGUGCCAGCCGCCGCAGUAACAC
rnacentral:rRNA from 1 species